rnacentral:lncRNA from 1 species
UGGGGCACCUGGCUGGCUCAGUUGGUGGAGCGUGGGAUUCCUGAUCUCUGGAUCAUGAGUUCCAGCCCCACACUGGGUGUGGACCCUACUUAAAAAAAGAAAAAAAGAAAGUCUCUUGUUAUUAGGAAAUGCAAGCAUUUAAUUGCUCAUCUCUCCAAUUAGUAUACAAUUAUAUGCCAUAAGGUCCAUAAGGAAUAAAGGGGAUUGAAAAAAAGUUGUCUGAUCAGAAGAUCAGAAAACAGCUCAGGUAUGUAUCUUGAAUUUAACCAAAUACGUAUCUGCCCAAAUAUACAUUCCAAAUGACCUUGACAUUAAUCCAAGCAUUAAAUUAAAACAUUUUCAUAAUAUUAUUGGGUACAGAGAGAGAGAGAGAGAGAGGAAACUAUCUCUAGAGGGAAACUCAAGAAAUUACAACAGUGGUCCCUCUGGAGGCGGGAACAGGGUGGAGAAGUGCUCCUGAGCCUGGGUGGGGAUGAACAGUAGAGGAAAAGGCAAGAGGUGGUACGGAAGAAACAGCGUGACCUGAGAAGUUAGACAGAACUAGUGUAUCUCUUCCCAGCCCUGCAACUAAGUUCCUCAGUAGUUCUGAACCAGUCGAGCCGUGUCCGCGUCCUGAUCUGGGACUUGGAGGUGCUCAAUAUGGUGCCAUGGUUGGGUUGGCACAACGAGGUGAAGCCCAUGCCGUUCUGGGUGUGGAUAAGGGGAUCCCUAGAGCUUAGCUCUGCUCACCCUACUCCGUGGUCUUCCGUUUGCUCGCAGCAGCUCUUAACUGUUGGCAGCCUUGCCUGUUGAUUGGGGAAGGCUAUUGCCGUUGGUGCAAAGAGCUUGUUUGGGAAGGCGGAACCCACGGGUGUGUGUUAUCCUUGGCCAGGUGCCUGCGGGGCUUAGCUUCCAGAGGCACCUUCUGGCCCUGCUCUGCAGGCAUGGGUGAGGUCAGCAUCCUUCAGUCCUGCUUCAGCUUCAAGGAACCAAGACUUUAAACAACAGAGUAGACAUGUUGUCUUCUCUAAGCAAGGAACUGGAGUUUCCCCAAGGCCGAGAGAUCACAGGCAUCUGUGAGCACCAGCAGAGGAGUCAUGUGCUGUGGGAAGGGACACCAGCACCUCAGCAGGGGCCCUGGUCACAUCCGCUCCCCCACUGUUCAAAUAGGUCUCUGUGUGGAACAGUGCUGAGGACACUGGGACUGCGUGUAGAGCAACCCUGUGUCAGUGGCCAGCACAGCCAGGUGCGCUCGCCAGCCCAAGACCAUGAGCCCCUUCCCACGGGCCUCUUCUGCUCCGGCAUUCUCAAGAGCACCGGUAAUACAGAACUCACUUCAUUUAAAGGAGAAGCAUACGCCACUGUCCGUGUAAAGCAGAAGAGCUCACAUCAGUGGGGUUUCAAACUGGGGGGGAGGGGGACGGGGGUACUUGUGAGCUUCCGGCUCUAGCAACAGCUCUUAGCAAUGAGGACCCUUGCGUCCCACAACAGCGUGACUUAUCCAAGGUCACACAGUCUGAGGCUUAAAUCUAGGUACACUCAGUUAUAAGCAAGAAUUCCUUUUUGAGGGCACCUGGGUGGCUCAGUGGGUUAAAGCCUCUGCCUUCAGCUCAGGUCAUGAUCCCAGGGUCCUGGGAUCGAGCCCCGCAUUGGGCUCUCUGCUCAGCAGGGAGCCUGCUUCCCCUGGCUCUCUCUGCCUACUUGUGAUCUCUGU